GACCUCAUCAUUUAUGGGGAGACCCUGGCGUCACGGCAAAAACAUAAUGAGUGGCUACAGGAAAAUUUUGCGACUGCUGACCCAGAAGAUUUGCGGCCACGUCUGCUCGCAACAGCCAAGGAACGGCACGAGUGUCUUCGGCGAAUCACGUUGUGAGAGGUGCUCCUGCGGUAUCCUUUCCUAGCAACGGUACACUCGCUGCUGAUGGAGUUCAAUAUAUUGUUCAAAAGAACAAUUGUCGGCAGUAUUGAGCAUGGUUGCAGCCGUCUGUGCAGGAUGAGGUUGUGCAAUUCUCCGCCAUGGCUUCUGAGAAUGGUGUCCUUGGCGUCCUCAACUUCAUUGCGGGCCUCUGCAAUGAAACACUUGAUGCUAUCUUAACAGACGCAAGUGCCUCAAGACAGGGGAGCUAUAAACAUAUACAAUAGCUGGACUGGUGCACAGUUCUGUUAAUCUUGUUUUGGACUGCAUGUGGGGCCUGUUUCUGCUUAUCAUAACUUUCUGGGGGCACUGCGGCUCUGCUCUUCCCUCGCUAGAUCGGAGCUGCUGACCCUUUUGCUCAAGGGAACCUAAACACACUGAUUUCAUCUGACAUCUGUUGCUGGAAACCAAUGCUUAGCGAAAAUUUAAUGAACAUGUUUUGUGCAAUCCCCGUGUAUUAGUUAGCUUUUAUUUAAUGUCUUGGUUAUUGUAUUUCUGAAUUGUGUGCUUUGCGCACAUAUGCUGCGACUUCUAGUAAGACAAAUUUAUUUCCAUAUCUUAACAUGCCCCCUUUUACGAAAACCUAAA